rfam:Streptomyces uncialis strain DCA2648 scaffold2, whole genome shotgun sequence.
CUUCAGCGACCCGAGCCACAAGGGCCGUUCGGCGGGCCGGUCCUGACCGUAGGUGGCAAGGAGGGCCUGGGCCUC